ensembl:lncRNA ZNF584-DT ZNF584 divergent transcript
AUGAGGGGCGCCUCUGCCCGGCCGCCCCUACUGGGAAGUGAGGAGCCCUUCUGCCCGGCCAGCCGCUCCGUCCGGGAGGGAGGUGGGGGGGUCAGCCCCCCGCCCGGCCAGCCGCCCUGUCCGGAAGGGAGGUGGGGGGGUCAGCCCCCCGCGCGGCCAGCCGACCCGUCCGGGAGGGAGGUGGGGGGGUCAGCCCCCUGCCCGGCCAGCCGCCCCGUCCGGGAGGUGCGGGGCGCCUCUGCCCGGCCGCCCCUACUGGGAAGUGAGGAGCCCCUCUGCCCGGCCAGCCGCCCCAUCUGGGAGGGAGGUGGGGGGGUCAGCCCCCCGCCCUGCCAGCCGCCCUGUCCGGGAGGGAGGGGCGCCUCUGCCCGGCCGCCCCUACUGGGAAAUGAGGAGCCCCUCUGCCCGGCCACCACCCCAUCUGGGAGGUGUACCCAACAGCUCGUUGAGAACGGGCCAUGA